GUACGGGAGGCAGCAGUAAGGAAUAUUGCGCAAUGGCCGAAAGGCUGACGCAGCAACGCCGCGUGGACGAUGAAGCACUUUUGUGUGUAAAGUCCUGUUGAGAGGGAAGAAACGUCGGACAUCCGUCCGGCCUGACGGUACCUCUAAAGAAAGCUCCGGCCAACUCCGUGCCAGCAGCCGCGGUAAUACGGGGGGAGCAAGCGUUGUCCGGAUUUAUUGGGCGUAAAGGGCGCGUAGGUGGAUCUGUAAGUGAGUGGUGAAAUCCCGAGGCUUAACUUCGGAAUGGCCUUUCAUACUGCAGGUCUUGAGUGCGAGAGGGGAAGAUGGAAUUCCUGGUGUAGCGGUGGAAUGCGUAGAUAUCAGGAAGAACACCGGUGGCGAAGGCGGUCUUCUGGCUCGUAACUGACACUGAGGCGCGAAAGCGUGGGGAGCAAACAGGAUUAGAAACCCUGGUAGUCCG
rnacentral:rRNA from 1 species